GGAUGGAUGGCCGAGUGGUUAAGGCGCUGUGUUCAGGUCGCAGUGAGAAAUCGCGUGGGUUCGAAUCCCACUCCAUUCA